AGACGAGGCUAUCCUACAGGACCAUACAUAUGGUAUGCAUCCGCCUGCCAACAUGUGGAUGUUAUGCAAAGAUAUGUAAGAGAAGACUACCAAGAUGCACUAUAAAUGGCUAACAUAUGUCAGUCGACAGGAAAAAGACAGCUACUAAACAUGUACAUUAAUAGAAAUGUUCAGUUAUAAAGAUAAAAUUUAAAUCCCUUCUUGUCUUCUAGGUUGACCAUCAUUAGCUGUAAGUUGCUGCUUGAAGAUAUUGCCAUGCAGGGUUGCAAACUGAAAUGAGGUUUUCUGAAGAUUUACUCCUUCAGAAAUACAGUGUUAUGAUACCCGGUGUUACAAUUGCAAAGAGAUGGAGACACUCUUGUAUUGGAAGCCUCAAAGAAUGACACACAACCAGGUAUUACCCAGCUGAAGCAAGGUUUGUUGAACUGACAGACUAGAAAGUAUUGUCAGGUCAGAGGAAUUACAUAUUGUCUGAAAUUGCUGAAUAAAAUGAAAGGUAGCAUCUGUAUUAAUUCUAGG
rnacentral:lncRNA from 1 species